CGUAAAGCGCGCGUAGGUGGUUUGUUAAGUUGGAUGUGAAAGCCCCGGGUUCAACCUGGGAACUGCAUCCAAAACUGGCAAGCUAGAGUACGGUAGAGGGUGGUGGAAUUUCCUGUGUAGCGGUGAAAUGCGUAGAUAUAUGGAGGAACACCAGUGGCGAAGGCGGCUCUCUGGUCUGUUACUGACGCUGAGGUGCGAAAGCGUGGGGAUCAAACAGGAUUAGAUACCCUGGUAGUCCACG
rnacentral:rRNA from 1 species